rnacentral:rRNA from 1 species
UACGAAGGGGGCUAGCGUUGCUCGGAUUUACUGGGCGUAAAGGGCGCGUAGGCGGACAGUUUAGUCAGAGGUGAAAGCCCGGGGCUCAACCCCGGAAUAGCCUUUGAUACUGGUUGUCUUGAGUUUGGGAGAGGUAUGCGGAACUCCGAGUGUAGAGGUGAAAUUCGUAGAUAUUCGGAAGAACACCAGUGGCGAAGGCGGCAUACUGGCCCAAUACUGACGCUGAGGCGCGAAAGCGUGGGGAGCAAACAGG